GAUGAACGCUGGCGGCGUGCCUAAUACAUGCAAGUCGAGCGAACAGACGAGGAGCUUGCUCCUCUGACGUUAGCGGCGGACGGGUGAGUAACACGUGGAUAACCUACCUAUAAGACUGGGAUAACUUCGGGAAACCGGAGCUAAUACCGGAUAAUAUAUUGAACCGCAUGGUUCAAUAGUGAAAGACGGUUUUGCUGUAACUUAUAGAUGGAUCCGCGCCGCAUUAGCUAGUUGGUAAGGUAACGGCUUACCAAGGCAACGAUGCGUAGCCGACCUGAGAGGGUGAUCGGCCACACUGGAACUGAGACACGGUCCAGACUCCUACGGGAGGCAGCAGUAGGGAAUCUUCCGCAAUGGGCGAAAGCCUGACGGAGCAACGCCGCGUGAGUGAUGAAGGUCUUCGGAUCGUAAAACUCUGUUAUUAGGGAAGAACAAAUGUGUAAGUAACUAUGCACGUCUUGACGGUACCUAAUCAGAAAGCCACGGCUAACUACGUG
rnacentral:rRNA from 1 species